rnacentral:rRNA from 1 species
UACGUAGGGUGCAAGCGUUAAUCGGAAUUACUGGGCGUAAAGCGUGCGCAGGCGGUGAUGUAAGACAGUUGUGAAAUCCCCGGGCUCAACCUGGGAACUGCAUCUGUGACUGCAUCGCUGGAGUGCGGCAGAGGGGGAUGGAAUUCCGCGUGUAGCAGUGAAAUGCGUAGAGUAUGCGGAGGAACACCGAUGGCGAAGGCAAUCCCCUGGGCCUGCACUGACGCUCAU